rnacentral:rRNA from 1 species
UACGGAGGGAGCUAGCGUUGUUCGGAUAUACUGGGCGUAAAGCGCACGUAGGCGGCGCAGCAAGUCAGGGGUGAAAUCCCGGAGCUCAACUCCGGAACUGCCCUUGAAACUGCAGUGCUAGAAUCCUGGAGAGGCGAGUGGAAUUCCGAGUGUAGAGGUGAAAUUCGUAGAUAUUCGCAAGAACACCAGUGGCGAAGGCGGCUCACUGGCCCGGUAUCACGCUGAGGCACGAAAGCGUGGGGAGCAAACAGG